rnacentral:pre_miRNA from 1 species
AGUGAGAUAGUUGGAUCAAAUGGUGGUUCCUUUACAAAUUUUCUAAGGAAUCUCCAUAUUGCUUUCCAUAGUGGUUGCACCAAUUUGCAGUGCCACCAGCAAU